rnacentral:lncRNA from 1 species
AUAUGUUGUAGUUCACAAGUUAAGGAACAACUUCGAUGAAGAAAAUAUGUUGAUCUGAGCAAGAGAAAAGGGAGUUUUUGAAGCUCACAACAAGUCUGACGCGUUGAUAUACAAAUGACGAACAAUCACUCAUCGUACCUGAAUUUCUGGAGUUGUACUGCUCCGAUGGAUCUCCAAUUCGGAUAUGUUGUAGUUCACGAGCUAAGGAACAACUUUCAUGAAGAUGGUUUUGCGAUCUGAGCCACAGAAAAUGGUGUUAUAUUGAAGAAAAGCUAAAGGCAGACUAAAGGAAAGCAAAAAUGGUAAAGCAAAGCAAAAGAAAAGCUAAAGGAAGACAAAAUCAUGGCACAUGAUAAUGAGUCAUACCCUACCCCUCAUUGGAUUCGAAUACACCAAUCCUCCAAAAUCAUGACAAAGGCCACAUUAUAGAUAUCUGUACAAACAUUCCAAAGAAAAAGGGAGGGAGUAAAAAAAAAAAAAAAAAAAAAAAAAGGGCCUAGGCCUCCACUUCUUUGGGCCUAACACAUCUUCAUAACAAAAAAAAAACAAUAUAUGAAGAAAGAGCCCUGGGUUACCACUUCGAAAAGAAACAAGUGAAGUUUUCCUACUCAUGACAUUGACUACUAGCUAGACACCUCAUUCGGCAACUCUUUUCGCCUGAAGACUUGGGGGACUCCCACCAUAUGCUACUGCACCUUGAUACUCGGCAGUCUCAUAACCACUCAGUGACUUGGAUUUUUCAAGUCUCCAACCGAGAAGUUUUCCUCACUCGGGAAAUUAAG